rnacentral:rRNA from 1 species
AGUGAACGCUGGCGGUAGGCCUAACACAUGCAAGUCGAACGGCAGCACAGUAAGAGCUUGCUCUUACGGGUGGCGAGUGGCGGACGGGUGAGGAAUACAUCGGAAUCUACUUUUUCGUGGGGGAUAACGUAGGGAAACUUACGCUAAUACCGCAUACGACCUACGGGUGAAAGCAGGGGAUCUUCGGACCUUGCGCGAUUGAAUGAGCCGAUGUCGGAUUAGCUAGUUGGCGGGGUAAAGGCCCACCAAGGCGACGAUCCGUAGCUGGUCUGAGAGGAUGAUCAGCCACACUGGAACUGAGACACGGUCCAGACUCCUACGGGAGGCAGGAGUGGGGAAUAUUGGACAAUGGGCGCAAGCCUGAUCCAGCCAUACCGCGUGGGUGAAGAAGGCCUUCGGGUUUUAAAGCCCUUUUGUUGGGAAAGAAAAGCAGCAGGUUAAUACCCCGCUGUUCUGACGGUACCCAAAGAAUAAGCACCGGCUAACUUCGUG